CAGAAGCAAAUAUGAUUUGGGCAUUUUACUGCAUCAUCUGGGCAUUUUACUGCAUCCAAGGUUAUAUGGGGCAGGUUGUUGUGACUCAGUCUGAUGUUAAAUCAGUUGAGCUCAGUCAAACAGUCUCUAUUGAUUGUAAGGUCAACACUGUAGUUUAUAGGCAUCCAGAGGGCUCAACAUCCAAAGAUUACUACAUCUCCUGGUAUCUUCAGAAACUAGAGGAAACCCCUAAACUCCUUAUAUAUUACACAACAAUGAAGCCUUCGAGUGCUCCAUCUAGAAUGAGUGGUGGAGGCAGUUUUCACUCUGGAGGAAAUGGUCUUGAAUUCACUCUGAACAUAAGUGAUGUCCAUCUUGAAGAUGCAGGAGAUUAUUACUGUGUGAGUGUGCAUACUAUCAGUGGCAAAUGGGUGUUUACAUAGUGAAAACAUGCUGUACAAAAACCUCCCUACUGACAAUCUUCUGAUGCCUCUGAGACCUACUGAC